GGAGAAUGUUAUCACGGGAGACACACGGCGGGUGCUAACGUCCGUCGUGAAGAGGGAAACAACCCAGACCGCCAGCUAAGGUCCCAAAGUCAUGGUUAAGUGGGAAACGAUGUGGGAAGGCCCAGACAGCCAGGAUGUUGGCUUAGAAGCAGCCAUCAUUUAAAGAAAGCGUAAUAGCUCACUGGUCGAGUCGGCCUGCGCGGAAGAUGUAACGGGGCUAAACCAUGCACCGAAGCUGCGGCAGCGACGCUUAUGCGUUGUUGGGUAGGGGAGCGUUCUGUAAGCCUGUGAAGGUGGCCUGUGAGGGUUGCUGGAGGUAUCAGAAGUGCGAAUGCUGACAUAAGUAACGAUAAAGCGGGUGAAAAGCCCGCUCGCCGGAAGACCAAGGGUUCCUGUCCAACGUUAAUCGGGGCAGGGUGAGUCGACCCCUAAGGCGAGGCCGAAAGGCGUAGUCGAUGGGAAACAGGUUAAUAUUCCUGUACUUGGUGUUACUGCGAAGGGGGGACGGAGAAGGCUAUGUUGGCCGGGCGACGGUUGUCCCGGUUUAAGCGUGUAGGCUGGUUUUCCAGGCAAAUCCGGAAAAUCAAGGCUGAGGCGUGAUGACGAGGCACUACGGUGCUGAAGCGACAAAUGCCCUGCUUCCAGGAAAAGCCUCUAAGCAUCAGGUAACAUUAAAUCGUACCCCAAACCGACACAGGUGGUCAGGUAGAGAAUACCAAGGCGCUUGAGAGAACUCGGGUGAAGGAACUAGGCAAAAUGGUGCCGUAACUUCGGGAGAAGGCACGCUGAUAUGUAGGUGAAGCGACUUGCUCGUGGAGCUGAAAUCAGUCGAAGAUACCAGCUGGCUGCAACUGUUUAUUAAAAACACAGCACUGUGCAAACACGAAAGUGGACGUAUACGGUGUGACGCCUGCCCGGUGCCGGAAGGUUAAUUGAUGGGGUUAGCGGUAACGCGAAGCUCUUGAUCGAAGCCCCGGUAAACGGCGGCCGUAACUAUAACGGUCCUAAGGUAGCGAAAUUCCUUGUCGGGUAAGUUCCGACCUGCACGAAUGGCGUAAUGAUGGCCAGGCUGUCUCCACCCGAGACUCAGUGAAAUUGAACUCGCUGUGAAGAUGCAGUGUACCCGCGGCAAGACGGAAAGACCCCGUGAACCUUUACUAUAGCUUGACACUGAACAUUGAGCCUUGAUGUGUAGGAUAGGUGGGAGGCUUUGAAGUGUGGACGCCAGUCUGCAUGGAGCCGACCUUGAAAUACCACCCUUUAAUGUUUGAUGUUCUAACGUGGGCCCCUUACCGGGGUUGCGGACAGUGUCUGGUGGGUAGUUUGACUGGGGCGGUCUCCUCCUAAAGAGUAACGGAGGAGCACGAAGGUUGGCUAAUCCUGGUCGGACAUCAGGAGGUUAGUGCAAUGGCAUAAGCCAGCUUGACUGCGAGCGUGACGGCGCGAGCAGGUGCGAAAGCAGGUCAUAGUGAUCCGGUGGUUCUGAAUGGAAGGGCCAUCGCUCAACGGAUAAAAGGUACUCCGGGGAUAACAGGCUGAUACCGCCCAAGAGUUCAUAUCGACGGCGGUGUUUGGCACCUCGAUGUCGGCUCAUCACAUCCUGGGGCUGAAGUAGGUCCCAAGGGUAUGGCUGUUCGCCAUUUAAAGUGGUACGCGAGCUGGGUUUAGAACGUCGUGAGACAGUUCGGUCCCUAUCUGCCGUGGGCGCUGGAGAACUGAGGGGGGCUGCUCCUAGUACGAGAGGACCGGAGUGGACGCAUCACUGGUGUUCGGGUUGUCAUGCCAAUGGCACUGCCCGGUAGCUAAAUGCGGAAGAGAUAAGUGCUGAAAGCAUCUAAGCACGAAACUUGCCCCGAGAUGAGUUCUCCCUGA
rnacentral:rRNA from 1 species